rnacentral:rRNA from 1 species
GAUGAGUGGCGAACGGGUGAGUAACACGUGAGUAACCUGCCCCUGACUUCGGGAUAAGCCCGGGAAACUGGGUCUAAUACCGGAUACGACCGUCCCACGCAUGGGGAUGGUGGAAAGUUUUUUCGGUUGGGGAUGGCUCGCGGCCUAUCAGUUUGUUGGUGAGGUAAUGGCUCACCAAGACGACGACGGGUAGCCGGCCUGAGAGGGCGACCGGCCACACUGGGACUGAGACACGGCCCAGACUCCUACGGGAGGCAGCAGUGGGGAAUAUGCACAAUGGGGGAAACCCUGAUGCAGCGACGCAGCGUGCGGGAUGACGGCCUUCGGGUUGUAAACCGCUUUCAGCAGGGAAGAAGCGAAAGUGACGGUACCUGCAGAAGAAGUACCGGCUAACUACGUGCCAGCAGCCGCGGUAAUACGUAGGGUACGAGCGUUGUCCGGAAUUAUUGGGCGUAAAGAGCUCGUAGGUGGUUGGUCACGUCUGCUGUGGAAACGCAACGCUUAACGUUGCGCGUGCAGUGGGUACGGGCUGACUAGAGUGCAGUAGGGAGUCUGGAAUUCUGGGUAGCGGUGAAAUGCGCAGAUAUCAGGAGGAACACCGGUGGCGAAGGCGGGACUCUGGGCUGUAACUGACACUGAGGAGCGAAAGCAUGGGGAGCGAACAGGAUUAGAUACCCUGGUAGUCAUGCCGUAAACGUUGGGCACUAGGUGUGGGGGACAUUCCACGUUCUCCGCGCCGUAGCUAACGCAUUAAGUGCCCCGCCUGGGGAGUACGGUCGCAAGGCUAAAACUCAAAGGAAUUGACGGGGGCCCGCACAAGCGGCGGAGCAUGCGGAUUAAUUCGAUGCACGCGAAGAACCUUACCAAGGCUUGACAUACACCAGACCGGCUUGGAAACAGGUCUUCCCCUUUGGGGUUGGUGUACAGGUGGUGCAUGGUUGUCGUCAGCUCGUGUCGUGAGAUGUUGGGUUAAGUCCCGCAACGGCGCAACCCUGUUCUAUGUUGCCAGCACGUGAUGGUGGGAACUCAUAGGGACUGCCGGGGUCAACUCGGAGGAAGGUGGGGAUGACGUCAAAUCAUCAUGCCCUUUAUGUCUUGGGCUUCACGCAUGCUACAAUGGCUGGUACAAAGAGAAGCGAACCCGUGAGGGUCAG